rnacentral:rRNA from 1 species
UACGUAGGGCGCAAGCGUUGUCCGGAAUUAUUGGGCGUAAAGAGCUCGUAGGCGGCUUGUCGCGUCGGAUGUGAAAGCCCGGGGCUUAACCCCGGGUCUGCAUUCGAUACGGGCAGGCUAGAGUGUGGUAGGGGAGAUCGGAAUUCCUGGUGUAGCGGUGGAAUGCGCAGAUAUCAGGAGGAACACCGGUGGCGAAGGCGGGAUCCUGGGCCAGUACUGACGCUGAGGAGCGAAAGCGUGGGGAGCAAACAGG